rnacentral:rRNA from 1 species
GACGAACGCUGGCGGCGUGCUUAACACAUGCAAGUCGAACGCUGAAGCCCUGGCUUUUGUUGGGUUGGAUGAGUGGCGAACGGGUGAGUAACACGUGAGUAAUCUCCCCUCUUUUUUGGGAUAUCGCCCGGAAACGGGUGCUAAUCCUGGAUAUUCACUGACCUUCGCAUGGGGGUUGGUGGGAAGGUUUGUUUUGGUGUGGGGUGGGCUCGCGGCCUAUCAGCUUGUUGGUGGGGUGUUGGCCUACCUAGGCCUUGACGGGUAGCCGGCCUGGGAGGGUGACCGGUGAGAUUGGGAGUGAGAUACGGCCCAGACUCCUGCGGGAGGCAGCAGUGGGGAAUAAUGCACGAGGGGCGAAAGCCUGAUGCAGCGGCGCCGCGUGAGGGAUGGAGGCCUUCGGGUUGUAAACCUCUUUCGCUCAUGGUCAAGCCGCAACUGUGGGUUGUGGUGAGGGUAGUGGGUAAAGAAGCGCCGGCUAACUACGUG